AUUGCUCGUGAAAAAACAAAUUUGUUUACAAAACAUAUCAUAUCUUUUGGUGACAAAUUCAUUCGUCGGCAAAAUAGCUGCUCGAGCUUUACUGUAGAUAUCUACAAUCAGCGGUCGAAUUAAAAACAGUGCAGAAGGAUGUUUUGAGUAUGUUUUAGCUUCUAGCCGCGCAAUCAAUGCUUUUUUUCCAAGCAAGAUGUACUUCUGUUUGGAUCCUAUCGGCGGGGAAAAAAGUACUUACGGCGACGGUGACAAGAAAUAGCGCUGAUUACGAGAUUACCAGAUCCAGAAGAUCCGGAAGGGCUGUUACAAGUAAUUGGUUUUGCUAGAGCAAAAGGAGGUUGACAAUGAUUGCAACAGGUGAAAUAAACUGUUGGAAUCACGACUAUCGAUCACGCCAGAAGAUCCGGAAAGAGUUGUUGAAAGUAAUUGGCCACAGAAAAGUAUCCAUUUAUGAAGUCUAUCUCCAUCUCGGGGGAAAGUGUGGUAAACAAUGUCCGGGUUGUUUUUCGUUAUGCGGACCUUGUUUCCGCAUCCUUUUACUGCACAAUAAUACGGCAUCUGAAGAAAAUAAGAUAUUCACAAUAUAAUUUUGGCAUGAUAGAGAACCGCGAGAUGAACGAUUAUCUGUGGAGGAGUUGGACAACAGAUUUCUUAGACUUAUAGCACUUUAAUCACACUCACAAGCUCUACAAAUCCUCACUGUCCCCCAAAACUAUUGAAUAAGAUGUAAUAUAAAUACCUUAAAGCCCAUUUAUACGUUGCUAGUAGCUGACUUCACAAUGAGCAGCUACUGACCCGGUGAACUCGCUUGACAAAUGGUUGACUCGCCUUGUCCGUUCACACAAUGUGAGCUGCUGACAAGAAACCAGAUACCACGACACGGGUUUACCAGAGAUGCCAGGCGAUUUUUCAAAUGUCCAUCAAAUAGUCAGAAACAGCAAUCAGGUCCGAAUUUGUCAGAUGAUUGAUCCAAAAUCGGCUUCUUUAUUGGCAGUUUUCGUCUUAGGUUUUCAGUUGAAUUUAUCAGUACACAAUUUUAUAGCGAAACACACGCUGGCCGUGUUUAAAAAUACUUUGUGCUGAAUUUAUUUUAUACUGAAGGUACUAUCCGAAAAAAGCAGAAAGAAAAAAGGAUUCGGGCCAGGAAUUGGAUGCAAAGAAAAGAAGCAACAAAUACAAUAUUGAAGUAACUCUACAAUGAUGAUCUCCGAGAGUACAGAGCAGUGUUGAGAAUAACACCUGAAAAAGUGAAAAAAACUGUUGGAUUUAAUUGCUCCACAAAUAUAACGCCAAGAUACACUCAUGAAGGAUGCUAAACCUACAAGAGUGAAACUAGAAAUGAUGUGCCUUUCUUCUGGAAUAUCGUUCAGAUUAUUGUCGAUAUUUUUUAGAAUCUCGAAAGCAUCCAUAGCUAAAAUAAUUCCGAAAGUAUGUGGUGCUCCAAAUGGCAGUCUAAAAGAUUUUUCAAAAUUUGAUUUAUUUCGCCUUGACAGCAGCUUCGUGUACCAAUUUGUGAAAUAAAAAUGUUAGUAGAUUUGCAGGAGCAAUUAAUACGCCUCAAAAACUAAAAUAAUGAAUGAAAAUCUACUUUUUCUAAAUCGAAUAUGUAUUCUGUUUCUUAGAACAAUACUUUUUUGCAAGUUGUGAGUGAAUUUUGAAUUAAAAUUGUGCCCGAUAAUGAUUUUAUAUUUAGAUCCCCAAGAAAACUAUUUUUAAAAAACGUGCCCCGUCAGCGUGCAAAACUAAAUAAUAACGAUUCCGUUUAGAAACUAUGAGGGUUUAAUUUGUUCUUCCAAUAAUUUUCAAGUCUAUAAAUAUCUUCGCAUAUUUUCAAAUAUCUUAAAAAUAGAGAAAUGUAAAGACAAUGUCAAGAUUUGGCAUCCCUGAUUCGAGCGCUAAAAUCUGUUUUUGACGUUUUGAGGGAUGCGAGUGCGAGUAAAUUCAAAAAACUUUGAAGUAGCUCGCACACCGAAUCACACAUGACACUAGCUGGCAUGAUGUGUUCACACGGUGUGAGUAGCUGCACUGCAGUAACUGACUAGACCGACUCGUAUGUUUACUCGCACCGUCUGAACCCGGCUUUAUUGCAGCUCUAGUACACUAUUUUUCACGAAUAUAUAUUUGCUUAUUUCUUUCUUCAGUUGUUUUCCUCAGCGAGUUGAUAUGAAACCAUAACGACACAACCAAACAAAAAGUAAACAAUGCAGAAAGCUACGUCUCGCAACUCGUCUCACGUAUUGUCAUGAAAGUGUCAAGAACGA